rnacentral:rRNA from 1 species
UACGUAGGGGGCAAGCGUUGUCCGGAAUCAUUGGGCGUAAAGAGCGCGUAGGCGGCCCAGUAAGUCCGCUCUGAAAGUCAGGGGCUCAACCCCUGAAUGCGGGUGGAUACUGCUGGGCUAGAGUCCGGAAGAGGCGAGUGGAAUUCCUGGUGUAGCGGUGAAAUGCGCAGAUAUCAGGAGGAACACCGGUGGCGAAGGCGGGUCUCUGGGCAGUAACUGACGCUGAGGAGCGAAAGCGUGGGGAGCGAACAGG